rnacentral:sRNA from 1 species
UCCCUGGCUCGCCGGCUGGCGUCGCCACCGCCUCCUCGUCCCCGGCCACCGCUGUCGCCGCUGCUGCAAUUCAAGGCGCACACUAUCCCACUUUCCCGCUGGAGGCGCAGAGGAUGCCCCUUGAGCCAGACCUGGAGAAAUAGCCCCAGGGCCCGGCAGGAGGAGCCUUGGUGGCGAGAAAGGAAAUCCAGGCUCCCCUUUCCUUAAAGCCACUGCAGCAGCUGGGAAGGCGCCCACAGAGCGGGCGCGCCAAGCGGGACGCGGGAGUCGCAGAGAGGGACCCGGGCGCCUGCUGAGCUCCGCUGGCAGAGUUUGCAAGUGGCGGAGACCCUUCAGUUUAUAGUCUACUGAGGUGAUUAAACAGCUGGAUUAAGAGUUUCCAUCCCGGAGUCAAACAGACUGAAUUCAAAUCCCCAUUUCACCUCUAACCAGCUGUGUGACCUUGGGCAAGUUACUUCCCUUCUCUGGGCUUCAGCGUACCUGCUUGUAAAAUAAAGGUGGCAUCCCUGAGUCCUGAUGCCUGACUGGAUGGAGGCCCACCAGCUUCUGUUCC